UCAGAGGCGAUGAAGGACGUGCUAAUCUGCGAAAAGCGUCGGUAAGGUGAUAUGAACCGUUAUAACCGGCGAUGUCCGAAUGGGGAAACCCAGUGUGAUUCGUCACACUAUCGUUAACUGAAUACAUAGGUUAACGAGGCGAACCGGGGGAACUGAAACAUCUAAGUACCCCGAGGAAAAGAAAUCAACCGAGAUUCCCC
rnacentral:rRNA from 1 species